GGGUGCCGGGCCGCAGGGGUCGUCAGGCAGGUAUCACGCGAAGGUCGGGCCGCCUCG
rnacentral:ncRNA from 2 species